rnacentral:rRNA from 1 species
GACAGAGGCCUCGAGCGUUAGGCGGAAUCACUGGGCUUAAAGCGUGUGUAGGCGGAUCGUUAAGUACCUUGUGAAAUCCCACGGCUCAACCGUGGAACGGCUGGGUAUACUGGCGGUCUUGGGCCAUUCAGGGGCGACUGGAACAAGCGGUGGAGCGGUGAAAUGCGCAGAUAUCAGGAGGAACACCGGUGGCGAAGGCGGGUCUCUGGGAAGUAACUGACGCUGAGAAGCGAAAGCAUGGGUAGCAAACAGG